CAAGGUUCAACUACGAGCUUU
rnacentral:siRNA from 1 species